rnacentral:rRNA from 1 species
CUACGGGAGGCACCAGUAGGGAAUCUUCGGCAAUGGGGGCAACCCUGACCGAGCAACGCCGCGUGAGUGAAGAAGGUUUUCGGAUCGUAAAGCUCUGUUGUAAGAGAAGAACGAGUGUGAGAGUGGAAAGUUCACACUGUGACGGUAACUUACCAGAAAGGGACGGCUAACUACGUGCCAGCAGCCGCGGUAAUACGUAGGUCCCGAGCGUUAUCCGGAUUUAUUGGGUGUAAAGCGAGCGCAGGCGGUUAGAUAAGUCGGAAGUUAAAGGCUGUGGCUUAACCAUAGUACGCUUUGGAAACUGUUUAACUUGAGUGCAGAAGGGGAGAGUGGAAUUCCAUGUGUAGCGGUGAAAUGCGUAGAUAUAUGGAGGAACACCGGUGGCGAAAGCGGCUCUCUGGUCUGUAACUGACGCUGAGGCUCGAAAGCGUGGGGAGCAAACAGGAUUAGAUACCCGGGUAGUC